GACGAACGCUGGCGGCGUGCUUAACACAUGCAAGUCGAACGCUGAAGCCCAGCUUGCUGGGUGGAUGAGUGGCGAACGGGUGAGUAACACGUGAGUAACCUGCCCCCUUCUUUGGGAUAACGCCCGGAAACGGGUGCUAAUACUGGAUAUUCACUGGCCUUCGCAUGGGGGUUGGUGGAAAGGUUUUUUCUGGUGGGGGAUGGGCUCGCGGCCUAUCAGCUUGUUGGUGGGGUGAUGGCCUACCAAGGCUUUGACGGGUAGCCGGCCUGAGAGGGUGACCGGUCACAUUGGGACUGAGAUACGGCCCAGACUCCUACGGGAGGCAGCAGUGGGGAAUAUUGCACAAUGGGCGAAAGCCUGAUGCAGCGACGCCGCGUGAGGGAUGACGGCCUUCGGGUUGUAAACCUCUUUCGCUCAUGGU
rnacentral:rRNA from 1 species